rnacentral:misc_RNA from 1 species
GGAAGGAUCAUUAUAAAAAAUUCGGGCUUGGGUUUAACCCAAGACCUGCCCCAAAAGGGACCUUUUGUGCACUGUAAAAUUUUUUCACUUAAGCUUUGUCUGAUUGAUAUUUGUACCGAAAGGGACAAGAAUUUUAAUCUAAAACAACUUUUAACAAUGGAUCUCUUGGCUCUCGCAUCGAUGAAGAACGCAGCGAAAUGCGAUAAGUAAUGUGAAUUGCAGAAUUCAGUGAAUCAUCGAAUCUUUGAACGCAUAUUGCGCUCUCCGGCAUUCCGGAGAGCAUGCCUGUUUGAGUAUUGGCCUAAACGAGAGUCUUCCUUUAAAGAUAUAAAAAAGAACGUUAAGAACCCUCAGUUGAGACUUCUCGACAAUUCAUUGCCGAGUGUUUUAAAAUGCAAUAGUACCGCCACGUUUGCGAACUUGGAGUAAUAUGUGAGCCUGAAAAGGUGACCUCUAUUCUCCUCGGACCACGUAGACCUGUUAAGCGGGAAGUUUUUGAAUGCCGAAUUAUGGGAGACGGUGUUCAAUUGUUCGAGUAACGACGAACGAAAUAAACUCAAUCUCAAAUCAGGUAGGAUUACCCGCUGAACUUAAGCAUAUUAAUAAGCGGAGGAAAAGAAACUAACAAGGAUUCCCCUAGUAACGGCGAGUGAAGCGGGAAGAGCUCAAAGUUGGAAUCUGGGCAGGUUUCCUGCUCCGAAUUGUAAUCUAUAGACGUGUUUUCGGUGGUUGUGUUGGUAUAAAUCCUUUGGAACAGGGUAUCAUAGAGGGUGAAAAUCCCGUCUUUGACUGACAUACAACUGCCUUGUGAUACAUGCUCAAAGAGUCGCAUUGUUUGGGAAUGCAGUGCAAAUUGGGUGGUAAAUUUCAUCCAAAGCUAAAUAAUGGCGAGAGACCGAUAGCGAACAAGUACCGUGAGGGAAAGAUGAAAAGAACUUUGAAAAGAGAGUUAAAUAGUACGUGAAAUUGUUAAAAGGGAAACGCAUGAAAUCAGUAAUCUCUGCAGCAAAUCAGCAUUUUCUUUCCUGUGAUCCAGCUUUAACCAGUGGUUAGUGUUGUUCUUCAUCAGGUAGAAAGUGUGCACUUUGCUGCAGAGGAGUCAACAUCAGUUUGGACUUGUGGAUACACCUCUGUGGAAGGUAGCCAACAUUUGUUGGUGUUUAGCCACGGUAGGAAAACACCGGUCUGGACUGAGGUCUGCAGCACAUUUCGGGACAUUUAGGCGCUGUCAAAUUCUAAUGGCCCUCAACUUGUUGAGUGUCGUCAAGGAAAUGACACCCGCUUGACUCUGUUACUUUUGUGCUUGGGAUGUUGACAAAAUGGUUUUAUACGACCCGUCUUGAAACACGGACCAAGGAGUCUAACAUAUAUGCGAGUAUUUGGGUGUCAAACCCACAUGCGCAAUGAAAGUGACUAAUGAUGGGACCUGCAAAGGGCACCAUUGACCGAUCUUGAUAAUUUGGAUAGAUUUGAGUAAGAGCAUAUCUGUUGGGACCCGAAAGAUGGUGAACUAUACUUGAAUAGGGUGAAGCCAGAGGAAACUCUGGUGGAGGCUCGUAGCGAUUCUGACGUGCAAAUCGAUCGUCAAAUUUGAGUAUAGGGGCGAAAGACUAAUCGAACCAUCUAGUAGCUGGUUCCUGC